ensembl:lncRNA
AGCUAGCCCACAAAUUACUUAUGGGCUUAAUGUUAUCCCCAUACAAAACACAGAAAUGGUUUUGUUCCAUGAGUGCAUCUGUUGUACAUGACUAAUCAAAUGACCUGUGAAGUCAGUUAGAAAUGUCAGCAGGGAUGGAAAUUAAGCUAGCCUGAGCCGGCCAUACCGGAAACCCAGUGACAAAACAAGGGCCUUCAGCUGCCAAAUUCCGUUAGAAAAAGGUAGCUCAUCCACCAUGUCAGAACAGGAAGAUCCAAAUACAUCCACUAUGGCAGAAGAGAAAGAUCCAGACUCAUCUACCAUGGCAGACGAUGAAGUUCCAGGCCCCCCGGCCACUAAAGAACAUAAAAAACUGCUUGUCUGCACAGUUGGGAAAGAGAGAUGGCCCUGUAUUUACCAGAAAAGGAAGCUCAUCCACCAUGGCAGAAGAGGAAGAUCUAGACUCAUCCACCAUGGUAGAAGAGGAAGAUCCACACAUUGUUCUCAUGAUGUUGCUUGCAAGCAAGAUGAAACAUCACAGAGGACCACUGUAUGAGUCAUAAACUCAGCAAAAAAAGGAAAGUCCUCUCACUGUCAACUGCGUUUAUUUUCAGCAAACUUAACAUGUGUAAAUAUUUGUAUGAACAUAACAAGAUUCAACAACUGAGACAUAAACUGAACAAGUUCCACAGAUGUGACUAACAGAAAUUGAAUAAUGUGGCCCUGAACAAAGGGGGGGUCAAAAUCAAAAGCAACAGUCAGUAUCUGGUGUGGCCACCAGCUGCAUUAAGUACUGCAGUGCAUCUCCUCCUCAUGGACUGCACCAGAUUUGCCAGUUCUUGCCGUGAGGUUUUACCACACUCUUCCACCAAGGCACCUGCAAGUUCCCGGACAUUUCUGGGGGAAAUGGCCCUAGCCCUCACCCUCCGAUCCAACAGGUCCCAGACAUGCUCAAUGGGAUUGAGAUCCAGGCUCUUUGCUGGCCAUGGCAAAACACUAACAUUCCUGUCUUGCAGGAAAUCACACACAGAACAAGCAGUAUGGCAGGUGGCAUUGUCAUGCUGGAGGGUCAUGUCAGGAUGAGCCUGCAGGAAGGGUACCACAUGAGGGAGGAGGAUGUCUUCCCUGUAACGCACAGCGUUGGGAUUGCCUGCAAUGAUAACAAGCUCAGCCUGAUGAUGCUGUAGCACACCUCCCCAGACCAUGAUGGAUCCUCCACCUCCAAAUCAAUCCCGCUCCAGAGUACAGGCCUCGGUGUAACGGUCAUUCCUUCGACAAUAAACGCUCACCCCUGGUGAGACAAAACCACGACUGGUCAGUGAAGAGCACUUUUUGCCAUUCCUGUCUGGUCCAGCAACGGUGGGUUUGUGCCCAUAGGGGAUGUUGUUGCCGGUGAUGUCUGGUGAGAACCUGCCUUACAACAGGCCUACAAGCCCUCAAUCCAGCCUCUUUCAGCCUAUUGCGGACAGUCUGAGCACUGAUGGAGGGAUUGUGCGUUGCUGGUGUAACUCGGACAGUUGUUGCCAUCCUGUACCUGUCCCGCAGGUGUAAUGUUCAGAUGUACCGAUCCUGUGCAGGUGUUGUUACACGUGGUCUACCACUGCGAGGACGAUCAGCUGUCCACCCUGUCUCCCUGUAGCGCUAUCUUAGGCGUCUCACAGUACGGACAGUGCAAUUUAUUGCCAUGGCCACAUCUGCAGUCCUCAUGCCUCCUUGCGGCAUGCCUACGGCACAUUCACGCAGAUGAGCAGGGACCCUGGGCAUCUAUCUUUCUUUUGGUGUUUUUCAGAGUCAGUAGAAAGGCCUCUUUAGUGUCCUAAGUUUUCGUAACUGUGCCUACCGUCUGUAAGCUGUUAGUGUCUUAAUGACCAUUCCACAGGUGCAUGUUCGUUAAUUGUUUAUGGUUCAUUGAACAAGCAUGGAAAACAGUGUUUAAACCCUUUAUAAUGAAGAUCUGUGAAGUUAUUUUGAUUUUUCAUCCUGAAAAGGGACGUUUCUUUUUUUUGCUGAGUUUAGUACCCAUUAAUCUAGUGGUCAAGCAGGGAAAUGGUUCCAAUCAUUUUUCCACCAUUCAUUUAUCCCAGGGGGGAUUUUAGAAACACUUAAAAGAAGGGCUUGUGUUUCGAGUACGCUUACACUGGCAUGAUGUUUUGAUAACCGUGUAAAACUCUCUAGGACAAGGGAACUUUCAUCAAUAUAUUCACUUGUAUUUACCCCCAAAAUGAAAUGCUAAUUAGCUGCUCAAAUGUUCAAAAGGAGGCCUUCACAAGGUUCCUACUACUGUAUCUGUCUAGAUGGGAGGGCGAAGUUUGAGAGAGUGGAAGUGUGUAUGUGUUUGUAUUUAUCUUUUGAUAUACUGGUCAGUAUCAUAAUCCAUAUUUCAUCAAUUUACAGUUAUAUUUUCAUUAUUAUUCUUAAUUUUAACUAGUUGUGUGAAUGAGAGUAUGUGAUGUCAUUUUGUUGUAUUAUCAUUUUGUUCUCUUUAUGUUCCCUCUAUCUCUGAUCACAGAUUUGCACCUGUGACAGAGGGGAAGUGUAUUUAUUUGGGCGCUAUGGGGUGGGGCUACAAGUCUACUCAGUUCUUGGCCUGGGAGAGCCCUUCUGUAUUGCCAUCUGUACUAUGAUUUGUUUGUUAUUUUCAGCCUGAGGGAUGUAAGAAUAUACAUUAAAUCUCCCUUUACUUUUCGCAUGAUACAACAUGAUCCUGAGUUUCAUUCAAUACAUUCCAGGCAACGGCCGGUCUGUGACAAUGUAGCUAUCAUAAAGAACUACAAAUGCCAUGAUGAUCUAGACAAGACUGCUGAAUAGAGGCAAAGUUAAGAAUCCCUCUGGAUUAACUAUCUAAUGUUAGCUAAAUGUAGUAAUGAAUAAAUUGGCAACAUUUCUUUAAAUAGACAAUUCUGGGAACUGUCUUGUGCAAGUUUUAAAUUGACACAAUACCUGUUAGCAAAUGUGUCAGCUAGAGAUGAUGUGCAGGAGCCUGCAGGGAUUUGUAGUCUCGCACGUUUAAAAAAAAACUUUGACGCUAAUUAACAUUUUCAAAUUUGAGAGUAAAUAGAGGCAAAUAUAUUUAUAAAAUUCACAUUGUGUGAGAGAAAUUUGCAUGGUUAUCAAAACGUCACACCUGGGUAAGCCUACAGUACAUGAAACACCCUCAUUUUAAGUAUUUCUAAAAUCCCCUAUGUGAAAAAUAUAUGGUGGGGAAAUGAUUGGAACCAUUUCACUGCUUGACCUAUGUUUUGUGGGUAUUAGGACACCUCCAAUGUGGGGCUCUAUUACAUGAGCAAACCGUGAGUAGAGACAGAAGUAAUGUGGUCGAGCGAGCAUUGAAAUGGUCCUGUGAGCGCACAGGCCAGUCGAGAGUGAAAAUUUAACUUGAGAGCUUGCAAGAAUAAUUUUGAGUGAGAAGAACAUAAUUGUCACGAUUUUUUUUUAAAGUCUUAAACAGUACAUAUAGAACUGUAAGCAAAGAAACGUGUAAAACAUUUAUUUGAUCACAUUCAAUUGUCCACCAGCAAGUCACUUGUCAAUGUCAAGUUUUCGCUCUCAAAUUCUCAAUUUGUUCUCUUCUGAAGUCUUGGAACCUUGUGGUUAGGAUUUCAGGCGGAUGGGGGGCUUAAAGGCGGGUGCUUGUAUAAAAACCUUAGAUUGGUCACUUUCACUGGAGUGAUGGACCAACUAAACAAAUUCAUGCCA